rnacentral:rRNA from 1 species
GGAAUUGUUCGCAAUGGGCGCAAGCCUGACGACGCAACGCCGCGUGGAGGAUGAAGAUCUUCGGGUCGUAAACUCCUGUCGAGUGGGAAGAAACGUUUCGGGGCCAAUACCCCCGGGACCUGACGGUCCCACUAAAGGAAGUCACGGCUAACUCCGUGCCCACAGCCGCGGUAAUACGGGGGGGGCAAGCGUUGUUCGGAAUUACUGGGCGUAAAGGGCUCGUAGGCGGCCAACUAAGUCGGAUGUGAAAUCCCCAGGCUCAACCUGGGAACUGCAUCCGAUACUGGAUGGCUUGAAUUCGGGAGAAGGAUGCAGAAUUCCAGGUGUAGCGGUGAAAUGCGUAGAUAUCUGGAGGAAUACCGGUGGCGAAGGCGGCAUCCUGGACCGACAUUGACGCUGAGGAGCGAAAGCUAGGGGAGCAAAC